AUUGAACGCUGGCGGCAGGCCUAACACAUGCAAGUCGAACGAGUGGCGGACGGGUGAGUAAUGUCUGGGAAACUGCCUGAUGGAGGGGGAUAACUACUGGAAACGGUAGCUAAUACCGCAUACCAUCGGAUGUGCCCAGAUGGGAUUAGCUAGUAGGUGGGGUAAAGGCUCACCUAGGCGACGAUCCCUAGCUGGUCUGAGAGGAUGACGAGCCACAUGGGAACUAGGACACGGUCCAGACGCCUACGGGAGGCAGCAGGGGGGAAUAUUGCACAAGGGGCGCAAGCCUGAUGCAGCCAUGCCGCGUGUAGGAAGAAGGCCUUCGGGUUGUAAAGUACGUUCAGCGGGGAGGCGUUACCCGCAGAAGAAGCACCGGCUAACUCCGUGCCAGCAGCCGCGGUAAUUC
rnacentral:rRNA from 1 species